rnacentral:rRNA from 1 species
AGUGAACGCUGGCGGUAGGCCUAACACAUGCAAGUCGAACGACAGCACAGUAAGAGCUUGCUCUUACGGGUGGCGAGUGGCGGACGGGUGAGGAAUACAUCGGAAUCUACUUUUUCGUGGGGGAAAACGUAGGGAAACUUACGCUAAUACCGCAUACGACCUACGGGUGGAAGCAGGGGAUCUUCGGACCUUGCGCGAUUGAAUGAGCCGAUGUCGGAUUAGCUAGUUGGCGGGGUAAAGGCCCACCAAGGCGACGAUCCGUAGCUGGUCUGAGAGGAUGAUCAGCCACACUGGAACUGAGACACGGUCCAGACUCCUACGGGAGGCAGCAGUGGGGAAUAUUGGACAAUGGGCGCAAGCCUGAUCCAGCCAUACCGCGUGGGUGAAGAAGGCCUUCGGGUUGUAAAGCCCUUUUGUUGGGAAAGAAAAGCAGCAGGUUAAUACCCCGCUGUUCUGACGGUACCCAAAGAAUAAGCACCGGCUAACUUCGUG